AUUUGUAGAUUCUUGUGUGCUGAAAUUUAGAAAUAAAACAAUAAUAUGGAAAUAAAACAUAAUUUUUAAGCACAUUCCCUGCACAUAAAGCUGAGUUUUGUUCUCAAUACAUCUUACGUGCGUUGUUAGUUCAUUGAGGUGAAAUGAUGAAAAAAUAAAGAAACAAAACCAUAUAUGUUUAAGCAAACUUGUUGCGAAGAUUUUUCAUUUCCUGGAAAUAAAAAUAAUUCUUGACGUGCGAAAAACUAAAUUAUUUAAAAUGUUCAUGUAUUAUUGGUACUUACAUAUAAACAGGUCCGUACGCGCGACAAGAAUGAAUCAGAAUGAUAGAGAGAGACAGGAAAGAUGAAUGACAUUUAAAGGAGAGCGUCCACGAAAUGCGUGACGCGUGGAUAAUAUAACAUUCUUGUCAUUCAAUUUUAUAUUGUAUGGGGGAAUGGUAGAUAUGAAUAUAAAAAUAAAUCUUACAGUGAAAAGAUAAAUACAAAUAAGCAGUAAUUUUAAAGAUGAUUCCGGGAAGCUGCAAAACAAACAACUAUAAUUGAAAAGACAAUUGCUCCAGAUGUUUCCAUUGCUGAAAGAAAAGGAACAGGAUAAGGAAGGAUAUAAACAUUUAAAUAAAUCAUAUAGUGAAUAGA